CAGCAGCCGCGGUAACACGAAGGGUGCAAGCGUUACUCGGAAUUACUGGGCGUAAAGCGUGCGUAGGUGGUGGUUUAAGUCCGUUGUGAAAGCCCUGGGCUCAACCUGGGAAUUGCAGUGGAUACUGGGUCACUAGAGUGUGGUAGAGGAUAGUGGAAUUUCCGGUGUAGCAGUGAAAUGCGUAGAGAUCGGAAGGAACAUCUGUGGCGAAGGCGACUAUCUGGGCCAACACUGACACUGAGGCACGAAAGCGUGGGGAGCAAACAGGAUUAGAUACCCCGGUAGUCCCUGUUUCUUAUAC
rnacentral:rRNA from 1 species